rfam:Triticum aestivum genome assembly, contig: Triticum_aestivum_CS42_TGACv1_scaffold_578193_7BL
GUAGUAUUCCCUCCGUCCCAAAAUUAUUGUGUUACAUUUGUUUAGAUACGGAUGUAUCUAACACUAAAAUGUAACUAGAUACAUCUGUAUUUAGACAAAUUUAAGACAAGAAUUUUGGGAUGGAGGGAGUACAAA